CCUACGGGAGGCUGCAGUGGGGAAUAUUGGACAAUGGGGGGAACCCUGAUCCAGCCAUGCCGCGUGUGUGAAGAAGGCCCUCGGGUUGUAAAGCACUUUCAGUGAGGAAGAACGCCUGGUGGUUAAUACCCAUCAGGAAAGACAUCACUCACAGAAGAAGCACCGGCUAACUCCGUGCCAGCAGCCGCGGUAAUACGGAGGGGUGCGAGCGUUAAUCGGAAUUACUGGGCGUAAAGCGCGCGUAGGUGGCUUGAUAAGCCGGUUGUGAAAGCCCCGGGCUCAACCUGGGAACGGCAUCCGGAACUGUCAAGCUAGAGUGCAGGAGAGGAAGGUAGAAUUCCCGGUGUAGCGGUGAAAUGCGUAGAGAUCGGGAGGAAUACCAGUGGCGAAGGCGGCCUUCUGGACUGACACUGACACUGAGGUGCGAAAGCGUGGGUAGCAAACAGGAUUAGAUACCCCAGUAGUC
rnacentral:rRNA from 1 species